rnacentral:rRNA from 1 species
GAUGAACGCUAGCUACAGGCUUAACACAUGCAAGUCGAGGGGCAUCAGGAAGAAAGCUUGCUUUCUUUGCUGGCGACCGGCGCACGGGUGAGUAACACGUAUCCAACCUGCCCUUUACUCGGGGAUAGCCUUUCGAAAGAAAGAUUAAUACCCGAUGGCAUAAUGAUUCCGCAUGGUUUCAUUAUUAAAGGAUUCCGGUAAAGGAUGGGGAUGCGUUCCAUUAGGUUGUUGGUGAGGUAACGGCUCACCAAGCCUUCGAUGGAUAGGGGUUCUGAGAGGAAGGUCCCCCACAUUGGAACUGAGACACGGUCCAAACUCCUACGGGAGACAGCAGUGAGGAAUAUUGGUCAAUGGGCGCUAGCCUGAACCAGCCAAGUAGCGUGAAGGAUGAAGGCUCUAUGGGUCGUAAACUUCUUUUAUAUAAGAAUAAAGUGCAGUAUGUAUACUGUUUUGUAUGUAUUAUAUGAAUAAGGAUCGGCUAACUCCGUGCCAGCAGCCGCGGUAAUACGGAGGAUCCGAGCGUUAUCCGGAUUUAUUGGGUUUAAAGGGAGCGUAGGUGGACUGGUAAGUCAGUUGUGAAAGUUUGCGGCUCAACCGUAAAAUUGCAGUUGAUACUGUCAGUCUUGAGUACAGUAGAGGUGGGCGGAAUUCGUGGUGUAGCGGUGAAAUGCUUAGAUAUCACGAAGAACUCCGAUUGCGAAGGCAGCUCACUGGACUGCAACUGACACUGAUGCUCGAAAGUGUGGGUAUCAAACAGGAUUAGAUACCCUGGUAGUCCACACAGUAAACGAUGAAUACUCGCUGUUUGCGAUAUACAGUAAGCGGCCAAGCGAAAGCAUUAAGUAUUCCACCUGGGGAGUACGCCGGCAACGGUGAAACUCAAAGGAAUUGACGGGGGCCCGCACAAGCGGAGGAACAUGUGGUUUAAUUCGAUGAUACGCGAGGAACCUUACCCGGGCUUAAAUUGCAGUGGAAUGAUGUGGAAACAUGUCAGUGAGCAAUCACCGCUGUGAAGGUGCUGCAUGGUUGUCGUCAGCUCGUGCCGUGAGGUGUCGGCUUAAGUGCCAUAACGAGCGCAACCCUUAUCUUUAGUUACUAACAGGUUAUGCUGAGGACUCUAGAGAGACUGCCGUCGUAAGAUGUGAGGAAGGUGGGGAUGACGUCAAAUCAGCACGGCCCUUACGUCCGGGGCUACACGCGUGUUACAAUGGGGGGUACAGAAGGCAGCUAGCGGGUGACCGUAUGCUAAUCCCAAAAGCCUCUCUCAGUUCGGAUCGAAGUCUGCAACCCGACUUCGUGAAGCUGGAUUCGCUAGUAAUCGCGCAUCAGCCACGGCGCGGUGAAUACGUUCCCGGGCCUUGUACACACCGCCCGUCAAGCCAUGGGAGCCGGGGGUACCUGAAGUACGUAACCGCAAGGAUCGUCCUAGGGUAAAACUGGUGACUGGGGCU